UACGGGGGGGGGCAAGCGUUGUUCGGAAUUACUGGGCGUAAAGGGCUCGUAGGCGGCCAACUAAGUCGGACGUGAAAUCCCUCGGCUUAACCGGGGAACUGCGUCCGAUACUGGAUGGCUUGAGUUCGGGAGAGGGAUGCGGAAUUCCAGGUGUAGCGGUGAAAUGCGUUGAGAUCGGAAGGAACGCCCGUGGCGAAAGCGAGGUCCUGGACGUCUGCUGACGCUGAGACGCGAAAGCCAGGGGAGCGAACGGG
rnacentral:rRNA from 1 species